ACGACGCUGGCGGCGUGCCUAAUACAUGCAAGUCGAACGGUCUUUUCUAUGGAAGCUUGCUUCCACUGAGAAGAUAGUGGCGAACGGGUGAGUAACACGUGGGUAACCUGCCCAUAAGAGGGGGAUAACAUCCGGAAACGGGUGCUAAUACCGCAUAGUUUUCUUGAUCGCAUGAUUGAGAAAGAAAGACGGCCUUUGUGCUGUCGCUUAUGGAUGGACCCGCGGCGUAUUAGUUAGUUGGUGAGGUAACGGCUCACCAAGACGAUGAUACGUAGCCGACCUGAGAGGGUGAUCGGCCACAUUGGGACUGAGACACGGCCCAAACUCCUACGGGAGGCAGCAGUAGGGAAUCUUCCGCAAUGGACGAAAGUCUGACGGAGCAACGCCGCGUGAGUGAAGAAGGUUUUCGGAUCGUAAAACUCUGUUGUCAGAGAAGAACAAGUUGGAGAGUAACUGCUCCAGCCUUGACGGUAUCUGACCAGAAAGCCACGGCUAACUACGUG
rnacentral:rRNA from 1 species